CAACUACCGAGAAAUCUCCGAGCAGAGGAUCACUGCGCACUGAUUGUUUCUCAUUUAUGAAACGCUUCUUAAGAAAUCCCUCUCCUUGUCACCUGAAGCUGUUCAACCCAGAUAUCAGCUAUUGCACCUAAUUUACAACAUCUACUAAAUUUUGAAUUCAAUAAAUUAAGUUUCUUCAACUUAAUUUCGCCUACAGAUGUUAAAGAAAAUCAUGUUAGUAGCGCUAGCAUAACUGUGUCAGUCACAAUUAGAGGCUUGUUGGAUAUACUUAA